GACGAACGCUGGCGGCGUGCUUAACACAUGCAAGUCGAACGGAAAGGCCCUGCUUUUGUGGGGUGCUCGAGUGGCGAACGGGUGAGUAACACGUGAGUAACCUGCCCUUGACUUUGGGAUAACUUCAGGAAACUGGGGCUAAUACCGGAUAGGAGCUCCUGCUGCAUGGUGGGGGUUGGAAAGUUUCGGCGGUUGGGGAUGGACUCGCGGCUUAUCCGCUUGUUGGUGGGGUAGUGGCUUACCAAGGCUUUGACGGGUAGCCGGCCUGAGAGGGUGACCGGCCACAUUGAGACUGAGAAACGGACCAGACUCAUACGGGAGGCAGCAGUGGGGAAAAUGGCAAAGUGGGCGGAAGCCUGAUGCAGCAACGCCGCGUGAGGGAUGACGGCCUUCGGGUUGUGAACCGAUUUCGCCUGAGAAGAAGCGUGAGUGACGGUAAUGGGUAAAGAAGCACCGGCUAACUACGUG
rnacentral:rRNA from 1 species